rnacentral:rRNA from 1 species
UACGUAGGGUGCGAGCGUUUAAUCGGAAUUACUGGACGUAAAGCGUGCGCAGGCGGUUAUGUAAGACAGGUGUGAAAUCCCCGGGCUUAACCUGGGAACUGCAUUUGUGACUGCAUAGCUAGAGUACGGUAGAGGGGGAUGGAAUUCCGCGUGUAGCAGUGGAAAUGCGUAGAUAUGACGGAGGAACACCGAUGGCGAAGGCAAUCCCCUGGACCUGCACUGACGCUCAUGCACGAAAGCGUGGGGAGCAAACGAGG